UACGUAGGUGGCAAGCGUUGUCCGGAAUUAUUGGGCGUAAAGCGCGCGCAGGCGGUCCUUUAAGUCUGAUGUGAAAUCACGUGGCUCAACCACGUGCGGUCAUUGGAAACUGGAGGACUUGAGUGCAGAAGAGGAGAGUGGAAUUCCACGUGUAGCGGUGAAAUGCGUAGAGAUGUGGAGGAACACCAGUGGCGAAGGCGACUCUCUGGUCUGCAACUGACGCUGAGGUGCGAAAGCGUGGGUAGCGAACAGGA
rnacentral:rRNA from 1 species